rnacentral:rRNA from 1 species
AUGAAGGAAUUGGGGCUGAAAGAGGAUGAUCUGGAUGAUGUAGUCUUUGAUGAAGAAGUGGCGCCUCCGGAGGGGCCUAGAUGGACUGCUCUGGCUAGGGUUAACACCACCAAAAACUACAGCCAAACUUGGUACUACAGGAAUAUGCGCUCUGCAUGGGAUAUUGCACAGGAGGCGAAGUUCAAACCUCUGGAGGAAAAUUUAUAUACUAUCCAAUUCUCAUGCUUAGGAGAUUGGGAGAGGGUGAUGAAUGACGGUCCCUGGAACUUCAGAGGAGAUGUGGUGCUGCUCGUGUCGUACGAUGGGAUCACAAAACCUUCCACCGUUAAGCUUGAAACAAUUGACAUAUGGAUCCAAAUCCAUGAUGCGCCUGAUUUGUAUGCCCAUCUAGUUACUCCACUUGCGGAGAAGGUGUGGGAAGUGUUGUUCUCUGAGCCCCCAUCUCACGAUUUUGUUGGCAACUUCUCCCGUGUAUAUGAUCAGAGAUGGUAA